rnacentral:rRNA from 1 species
UACGGGGGGAGCAAGCGUUGUUCGGAUUUACUGGGCGUAAAGGGCGCGUAGGCGGCCAGCACAAGUCAGUUGUGAAAUCUCCGAGCUUAACUCGGAAAGGUCAACUGAUACUGUGCGGCUAGAGUGCGGAAGGGGCAACUGGAAUUCUUGGUGUAGCGGUGAAAUGCGUAGAUAUCUGGAGGAACACCGGUGGCGAAGGCGGCAUCCUGGACCGGUAUUGACACUGAGGCGCGAAAGCCAGGGGAGCAAACGGG